rnacentral:rRNA from 1 species
GAUGAACGCUGGCGGCGUGCCUAAUACAUGCAAGUCGAGCGAACAGACGAGGAGCUUGCUCCUCUGACGUUAGCGGCGGACGGGUGAGUAACACGUGGAUAACCUACCUAUAAGACUGGGAUAACUUCGGGAAACCGGAGCUAAUACCGGAUAAUAUAUUGAACCGCAUGGUUCAAUAGUGAAAGACGGUUUUGCUGUCACUUAUAGAUGGAUCCGCGCCGCAUUAGCUAGUUGGUAAGGUAACGGCUUACCAAGGCAACGAUGCGUAGCCGACCUGAGAGGGUGAUCGGCCACACUGGAACUGAGACACGGUCCAGACUCCUACGGGAGGCAGCAGUAGGGAAUCUUCCGCAGUGGGCGAAAGCCUGACGGAGCAACGCCGCGUGAGUGAUGAAGGUCUUCGGAUCGUAAAACUCUGUUAUUAGGGAAGAACAAAUGUGUAAGUAACUAUGCACGUCGUGACGGUACCUAAUCAGAAAGCCACGGCUAACUACGU